UAAAAAAAAAAGGAAGAAAAAAAGCAAGCGCAAAAAUGAAAACCAUGUGGAUGAGUUUGUUUCUUAUGACACUUUUGUUCGUGGCAAGUUUUCAAGAUACAAAUUUCAAAGAAAUUGGAGAGAAAAUCAAAGAUGGAGUAAAGAAUUUUGGUGAAGAUGCAGGAAAAGCCAUUAAAGAUGGAGCUGGAAAAGUUGGAGAUGGAGUUCACAGUUUCAAAAAUAAAUUGAAAGAUAUUUUCGGUAAAUAAAGCCAAGCAAUUGCAAUCUGUUUCGAAUUUAAGCUUGUUAAUAUAUAAAAAUUUAUUUCGAAAA